rnacentral:rRNA from 1 species
UACGAAGGGGGCUAGCGUUGCUCGGAAUGACUGGGCGUAAAGGGCGCGUAGGCGGCUUGUAUAGUCGGAUGUGAAAUUCCCUGGGCUUAACCUGGGGGCUGCAUCGAGACGUAUGGGCUUGAGUGCGGAAGAGGGUCGUGGGAAUUCCCAGUGUAGAGGUGAAAUUCGUAGAUAUCGCAAGAACACCAGUGGCGAAGGCGGCUCACUGGCCCGAUACUGACGCUGAUGCAACGAAAGCGUGGGGAGCAAACAGG